UGUAGAGCUGAGCUCCAUGUGACUGACUGUGUGUGUUUGCAUAUGUGUCCUGCCUCUCUGCUCCAGCUGUUAAGAGGUCAGAGUUGAUCAGUGGCUGUCCAGGCCUUUCAGAGCCACUGACACACCAGCAGCACAAUGAUGAUGUCACUGACUCUACUGCUGACCAUCCUGGGGCUCCUGGUUCAGGGAUCUUCAGGACAAGUCACCAUAACUCAGACUCCUGGAUCUCAGUCUGUUGCUCCAGGACAGCCUGUCUCUAUUCAAUGUAAAGUCAGUCCAAGUGUAAAUUACUGUUUCAACUGGUACCUUCACAAACCAGGAGAAGUUCCAAAACUCCUUAUUAAAUGCGCAAGCACCCGUCAUUCUGGAAUCCCUGAUCGUUUCAGUGGAUCAAACUCUGGGAAUACUGACCUCACUCUGACCAUCAGUGGAGUUCAGGCUGAAGAUGCUGGAGUUUAUUACUGUCAGAGUGCUCACUACAUCAACAGCAAGUGGAUGUUCACACAGUGAAAAACCAUCGUACAAAAACCUCCCUCAGUCAAAUUAAACUAACGGGUCUGAUACAGUUCACUGAUCCCCCCUCUCCAUCCUGCAUACACUUGUUGAGAUCAGUAGAUCUUCUUUUAUCAUCUCCUUCCAUGAGGAAACUGAUAGUCUAGGCAAUUUCCUCCUUGACUACAGAAGCAGUAUCGAGUUGACACUGCUAAGGUGCAGCUGCCUUCAAUCACCAUCUUCCCAUAAAUACUCAGGAUUUACAUCCACUCAUUGCCAGAUCAAAUGAUUUCACUUCAUAGAAAGCCUACCUCAGUCUGACUGAACAGAAACUCUGAAAAACGAGUUGGAAAAUGAAUAGGUUUGUUCUUGCUUUUCACAGUAUCCAAAUGGAAUCAAAUAGAAGUCAACAAAUUACAUUUGACACCUCUCACUGUAUAAUGAUCUGUUUUUAAACAUGAAUAAAACAUUGAACAG